GGGGGUCGUGUGUUCACUGAAAGACAAGGCAACAGUCCAGAGGCAAGGCGGUAGGAGAGAAAGGGCUUUAUUACAGCUUGCCAGCAAGGUGGAUGAUGGGGGACUAAUGUCCAAAAGAACCAUCUCAAAACUACAAAAUCUUCAGGCCGUUAUAUAAGGCAAACGGGCUAAAAGGGAGGGAGGGGUCUUGGAAUGUCGACCAUCUGCUGCGGCAGACCUUGAGACACCAUAUCAUCUCUUUCUCCUGUCACCAGUGAUGGAUACCAGCAUAGCAUUUUCUUCCCAGAGGUCGUUACAUUCCUGAGGAAAACUUAAAGAACACAGUUAUUGCCUUAUAGCAGCAGGGAGGUAUAUGCAUAAGCAAGGGCCACAAAACUAACAGAGCAUGCACAUCUUCCCCGAGACGGGUGCUCAAUCACCUAGGCUGUGCGCAAACUAAAGUACUUCUAAAGGGGGCUGGUGAGUCAGGGUCAUACAUAGUUACAACAUGGCUUCCUUCUACAAGAUGGCUUCUCUUAUGCUAACUUUCAACUGGGCCGGUUUUAACUGACUCAGUGUCACCAACAAUUUCCCCGUCAGUUAUACCCCGGGCAUAAUCAUAUGUUGGUGUAGGGAAUAGGGCCACCAUGUUCAAUCUGGCUACCUGGCUACUUCCUGCUGGAUCAGGGUGACAUAAGGGGACCAUAGCAUGGACGAGAGUCACUCUCUUCUUAAAAUGAGCCCGGGGGGGGGCGGGGGCCGGUUUGUGGUGCUACUGACCCGGAAACCUUGGUGGUCAAGGUAGACAUACAUUUCACUCCCAAUCUAAUAACUCAGUAUAUCGAUAGACUUAGUAAGGGGAGGCCCCCUUUUAUUAUGCCAACAAGGAUCGAUACCCAGCUGGUAUCUAAGAGAAAAGAAUCCUGCUGGGCUGAACCGGGUCGCCUGCAAACUUUGAAGCAUCUGGUCAAGGCUUGCUGACCUUUUCAAGCUGGACCUGGGCCACAUCUCCAGGUGGCUGUCACCUUGGGACAGAAACACCCUCCAAGGCAAAGCAGCACAAACAUCCCUCCAUAAAUCUGUGCAGAAUGGACAACACAGUGUCGGAUGGCCGAAGCACUGACUAUUGUUUCUAGCAUCUUUGAUCUGUCAACAACUCUCAACAACAUUUAUUUACCAGUUCUUACCUGGCCUCUUCUUCCUGCCCCAAAUGACUAGCAAUAGGAAAUAAGUCAAAACUUUUACCACUGGAAGUAAAUAAAUGGGAUUUUAUUUUUAAGUGGAAUAUAAAA
rnacentral:lncRNA from 1 species